AUGUCAUGCCCGUUUGAAGUGUACAAGGAAGAUGUUAUGCCUGUGAUGAAAGAGGAGAAAAUAUUCAGGGAUGAAGCACUAAGGCUGUUUCUUGAGGAAUGGAUAGAUGCCAGGUGCAAGAUGGAGGAUAAGCUUGAUCGGGCAUUAGAGAAAUAUCGAAGCUCUAAGGGGGAAGGCUUUCCUAGGAGACAGCGGAUGCCACCAAGGCAGCCACCACUGACCUUAAGGCGGCAUCCUCCAACACCCAAGACAUCGCUGCCUAUGAUGCCAACCAAGUGCUCGACGGCAAGCUUCAAUGAUGGUUGUGCACGCAUGGCAGCGAGCUCAAGCCACACCAAUAAGGUACCUAUUCCUACGGUCACCUUGGAGCUGGGAUAUGGUGACGACAAGGCCCACACACCCUGCAUCGAUACCACGGACUGUUCCAAAGAGACGCACGCCAAGUGUUUGAUGGCUGCACUCAACGUCAAUGGUGGCAGCAACCAAGCUGUGGUCGCGUUCCUGACCAUGACGGACAUGUUUAAGAUCAUUCCAACAUAUGUUGAGCCAAUGGACAUCUUCUCAGCAAGAUCGACCAUUGACCACAAGGAAAACAUACCAAUGCCACAUCGACGAAGAAUGCAUUUGAUGGUGAAUGGGCUCGCAGAAUGCCUCUUGGCAUCUAGCUCCCCAUCGUCGUCGUUGUUCCCUUACUCGCCCUCGCUUGUUGGUCGUGCCGCCGUCUGAGAGGUGGUUG
rnacentral:lncRNA from 1 species